rnacentral:rRNA from 1 species
AUUGAACGCUGGCGGAAUGCUUUACACAUGCAAGUCGAACGGCAGCACGGGGCAACCUGGUGGCGAGUGGCGAACGGGUGAGUAAUACAUCGGAACGUGCCUAAUCGUGGGGGAUAACGUAGCGAAAGUUACGCUAAUACCGCAUACGAUCUACGGAUGAAAGCGGGGGAUCGCAAGACCUCGCGCGAAUGGAGCGGCCGAUGUCAGAUUAGGUAGUUGGUGGGGUAAAGGCUCACCAAGCCGACGAUCUGUAGCUGGUCUGAGAGGACGACCGGCCACACUGGGACGGAGACACGGACCAGACUCCUACGGGAGGCAGCAGUGGGGAAUUUUGGACAAUGGGCGCAAGCCUGAUCCAGCCAUUCCGCGUGCAGGAUGAAGGCCUUCGGGUUGUAAAGCUCUUUCGGCCGGGAAGAAAUCGCACGGGCUGAUACCCUGUGUGGAUGACGGUACCGGAAUAAGAAGCACCGGCUAACUACGUGCCAGCCGCCGCGGUAAGAC